GUGAACGUUGGCGGUAGGCCUAACACAUGCAAGUCGAACGGCAGCACAGUAAGAGCUUGCUCUUACGGGUGGCGAGUGGCGGACGGGUGAGGAAUACAUCGGAAUCUACUUUUUCGUGGGGGAUAACGUAGGGAAACUUACGCUAAUACCGCAUACGACCUACGGGUGAAAGCAGGGGAUCUUCGGACCUUGCGCGAUUGAAUGAGCCGAUGUCGGAUUAGCUAGUUGGCGGGGUAAAGGCCCACCAAGGCGACGAUCCGUAGCUGGUCUGAGAGGAUGAUCAGCCACACUGGAACUGAGACACGGUCCAGACUCCUACGGGAGGCAGCAGUGGGGAAUAUUGGACAAUGGGCGCAAGCCUGAUCCAGCCAUACCGCGUGGGUGAAGAAGGCCUUCGGGUUGUAAAGCCCUUUUGUUGGGAAAGAAAAGCAGCAGGUUAAUACCCCGCUGUUCUGACGGUACCCAAAGAAUAAGCACCGGCUAACUUCGUG
rnacentral:rRNA from 1 species